rnacentral:rRNA from 1 species
CCUACGGGUGGCAGCAGUGGGGAAUAUUGGGCAAUGGGCGCAAGCCUGACCCAGCAACGCCGCGUGAAGGAAGAAGGCUUUCGGGUUGUAAACUUCUUUUGUCAGGGACGAAGCAAGUGACGGUACCUGACGAAUAAGCCACGGCUAACUACGUGCCAGCAGCCGCGGUAAUACGUGGGUCGCACGUGUUAUCCGGUUUUAUUGGGUGUAAAGGGCGUGUAGGCGGGAAUGCAAGUCAGAUGUGAAAACUAUGGGCUCAACCCAUAGCCUGCAUUUGACACUGUAGUUCUUGAGUGCUGGAGAGGCAAUCGGAAUGCCGGGUGUAGCGGUGAAAUGCGUAGAUAUACGGAGGAACACCAGUGGCGAAGGCGGAUUGCUGGACAGUAACUGACGCUGAGGCGCGAAAGCGUGGGGAGCAAACAGGAUUAGAUACCCGAGUAGUC